rnacentral:rRNA from 1 species
UGGGGAAUAUUGGGCAAUGGAGGGAACUCUGACCCAGCGACGCCGCGUGCGGGAUGAAGGCCUUCGGGUUGUAAACCGCUUUCAGUAGGGAAGAAGCGAAAGUGACGGUACCUACAAAAGAAGCACCGGCUAACUAUGUGCCAGCAGCCGCGGUAAUACAUAGGGUGCAAGCGUUGUCCGGAAUUAUUGGGCGUAAAGAGCUCGUAGGUGGUUCGUCACGUCGGAUGUGAAAAUCUGGGGCUUAACCCCAGACCUGCAUUCGAUACGGGCGAGCUAGAGUGUGGUAGGGGAGACUGGAAUUCCUGGUGUAGCGGUGGAAUGCGCAGAUAUCAGGAGGAACACCAAUGGCGAAGGCAGGUCUCUGGGCCAUUACUGACACUGAGGAGCGAAAGCGUGGGGAGCGAACAGG